GGCCACUUUACCGCUAGCGUCUUCGGUAAAAGAAGCAACAAGCUCAACUCUAUGUAACUCGUUUUCCACGUUUUCUUCAUGUAUUGUUACUGCAGCAACGUUAGCAGGCCCUGCGGUGCCUCCAUCAUUUUUUCUCAGAUUAUUGCUCAGUUCAAGCGAAGACUCUCUAGCCUCUGUCCUGCACUGCCCUUCGGUUCCCAGUAAUCCUGUUAGCCUUAGUAAUCCUCCCCAGCGUCCUGCAGCACGUCCAGGCUUCUUCACCGCAACUCUGGAAGAUGCUGCUGCUGCCGGCCUGAACGCUUCAGGAUGUUGAGCUGGGUGGUCAAAGUCGUUCCCCAGCCGCCUGAACCUUCAGCCAAGGAGGCCAAAGAGAAGAAAGAGGCUCCGCCCCCUGCCAAGGCACAAGUCGCAGAGAAAAAAGUGAAGUUUCAGGACGAGGUGAAAAUUGAAGAACCAAAAGUUGAAAAACCCAUACAGGAGGUGCAGAUUGUAGCAGAUGAUGAGCUGGCUGCGUCCUCUCAGUCAAUCACUCAGCCCAACGUGUUAACGUGGAUCAGUAACGCUCUACCUCAACCUUCACCAAAACUUAGCCGGGCCAACUCUCCCUGUAAGGAGGAACCAUCAGCGUCCAGCAGGUAAAUAACCCCCCAUCCCACCAACCAGGAGGCUGCAGGUAACCAGUGAAGUUAUUGACCUCUAGUAUUUCACCUCAUCUGUGUCUAAUGAGAAGAUAAAUAACACAUUGAUACAUCUCAAAGCAUUAGAUAUCCAUCCCUACCUGGUGGACAACAAUAAACCUGAAGACGAGUGAGUAAGAGGGUCUUGC
rnacentral:lncRNA from 1 species